rnacentral:rRNA from 1 species
UACGGAGGAUCCGAGCGUUAUCCGGAUUUAUUGGGUUUAAAGGGUGCGUAGGCGGUCGGAUAAGUUAGAGGUGAAAUCCCGGGGCUCAACUUCGGAAUUGCCUCUGAUACUGUUCGGCUAGAGAGUAGUUGCGGUAGGCGGAAUGUAUGGUGUAGCGGUGAAAUGCUUAGAGAUCAUACAGAACACCGAUUGCGAAGGCAGCUUACCAAGCUACUUCUGACGUUGAGGCACGAAAGCGUGGGGAGCAAACAGG